UGCAGCCAUGUCAAAUUCAGUACGGCCUCUACUGUGGCUCAUACUGGCCAAAAUGGCUGCCACAGGGAAAUGGUAGUUCAUGGGCCCCACGUCUAAUGCUCAUGGUUGUUGGGGAUAAAUUUGUGCUACAGACAAUU